rnacentral:rRNA from 1 species
UACGUAGGGGGCUAGCGUUGUUCGGAAUUACUGGGCGUAAAGCGCACGUAGGCGGAUUUGUAAGUCAGGGGUGAAAUCCCGGGGCUCAACCUCGGAACUGCCUUUGAUACUGCAAAUCUCGAGUCCGGAAGAGGUGAGUGGAAUUCCUAGUGUAGAGGUGAAAUUCGUAGAUAUUAGGAAGAACACCAGUGGCGAAGGCGGCUCACUGGUCCGGUACUGACGCUGAGGCACGAAAGCGUGGGGAGCAAACAGG